GCAUAUCAAUAAGCGGAGGAAAAGAAACCAACAGGGAUUGCCCUAGUAACGGCGAGUGAAGCGGCAACAGCUCAAAUUUGAAAUCUGGCUCUCGGGCCCGAGUUGUAAUUUGUAGAGGAUACUUUUGAUGCGGUGCCUUCCGAGUUCCCUGGAACGGGACGCCAUAGAGGGUGAGAGCCCCGUCUGGUUGGAUGCCAAAUCUCUGUAAAGUUCCUUCAACGAGUCGAGUAGUUUGGGAAUGCUGCUCUAAAUGGGAGGUAUAUGUCUUCUAAAGCUAAAUACCGGCCAGAGACCGAUAGCGCACAAGUAGAGUGAUCGAAAGAUGAAAAGCACUUUGAAAAGAGAGUUAAAAAGUACGUGAAAUUGUUGAAAGGGAAGCGUUUAUGACCAGACUUGGGCUUGGUUAAUCAUCUGGGGUUCUCCCCAGUGCACUUUUCCAGCUCAGGCCAGCAUCAGUUUUCCCCGGGGGAUAAAGGCGGAGGGAAUGUGGCUCUCUUCGGGGAGUGUUAUAGCCCACCGUGUAAUACCCUGGGGGGGACUGAGGUUCGCGCAUCUGCAAGGAUGCUGGCGUAAUGGUCAUCAACGACCCGUCUUGAAACACGGACCAAGGAGUCGUCUUCGUAUGCGAGUGUUCGGGUGUCAAACCCCUACGCGUAAUUAAAGUGAACGCAGGUGAGAGCUUCGGCGCAUCAUCGACCGAUCCUGAUGUUCUCGGAUGGAUUUGAGUAAGAGCAUACGGGGCCGGACCCGAAAGAAGGUGAACUAUGCCUGUAUAGGGUGAAGCCAGAGGAAACUCUGGUGGAGGCUCGCAGCGGUUCUGACGUGCAAAUCGAUCGUCAAAUAUGGGCAUGGGGGGCGAAAGACUAAUCGAACCUUCUAGUAGCUGGUUUCCGCGA
rnacentral:rRNA from 1 species